rnacentral:rRNA from 1 species
CCUUCGGGUUGUAAAGCACUUUCAGUCAGGAGGAAAGGUUAGUAGUUAAUACCUGCUAGCUGUGACGUUACUGACAGAAGAAGCACCGGCUAACUCCGUGCCAGCAGCCGCGGUAAUACGGAGGGUGCGAGCGUUAAUCGGAAUUACUGGGCGUAAAGCGUACGCAGGCGGUUUGUUAAGCGAGAUGUGAAAGCCCCGGGCUCAACCUGGGAACUGCAUUUCGAACUGGCAAACUAGAGUGUGAUAGAGGGUGGUAGAAUUUCAGGUGUAGCGGUGAAAUGCGUAGAGAUCUGAAGGAAUACCGAUGGCGAAGGCAGCCACCUGGGUCAACACUGACGCUCAUGUACGAAAGCGUGGGGAGCAAACAGGAUUAGAUACCCUGGUAGUCCACGCCGUAAACGAUGUCUACUAGAAGCUCGGAGCCUCGGCUCUGUUUUUCAAAGCUAACGCAUUAAGUAGACCGCCUGGGGAGUACGGCCGCAAGGUUAAAACUCAAAUGAAUUGACGGGGGCCCGCACAAGCGGUGGAGCAUGUGGUUUAAUUCGAUGCAACGCGAAGAACCUUACCUACACUUGACAUACAGAGAACUUACCAGAGAUGGUUUGGUGCCUUCGGGAACUCUGAUACAGGUGCUGCAUGGCUGU